AUUGAACGCUGGCGGCAUGCCUUACACAUGCAAGUCGAACGGCAGCACGGGUGCUUGCACCUGGUGGCGAGUGGCGAACGGGUGAGUAAUACAUCGGAACAUGUCCGGUAGUGGGGGAUAGCCCGGCGAAAACCGGAUUAAUACCGCAUACGAUCUACGGAUGAAAGCGGGGGACCUUCGGGCCUCGCGCUAUAGGGUUGGCCGAUGGCUGAUUAGCUAGUUGGUGGGGUAAAGGCCUACCAAGGCGACGAUCAGUAGCUGGUCUGAGAGGACGACCAGCCACACUGGGACUGAGACACGGCCCAGACUCCUACGGGAGGCAGCAGUGGGGAAUUUUGGACAAUGGGCGAAAGCCUGAUCCAGCAAUGCCGCGUGUGUGAAGAAGGCCUUCGGGUUGUAAAGCACUUUUGUCCGGAAAGAAAUCCUUGGCCCUAAUACGGUCGGGGGAUGACGGUACCGGAAGAAUAAGCACCGGCUAACUACGUG
rnacentral:rRNA from 1 species